rnacentral:rRNA from 1 species
CCCUUAGAUGUUCUGGGCCGCACGCGCGCUACACUGACGGAGGCAGCGAGCGUGUCCUUCGCCGGCAGGUGCGGGCAAUCUUGCGAGUCUCUGUCGUGCUGGGGAUAGAUGGUUGCAAUUGUCGAUCUUGAACGAGGAAUUCCUAGUAAGCGCGAGUCAUCAGCUCGCGCUGAUUACGUCCCUGCCCUUUGUACACACCGCCCGUCGCUACUACAGAGUGCCCGUGUCCAAGAAACGGUCGGACCUGUGCGGCCUCUCCGGGCGACCGGAGGGCCGUUACGGGGAAGACCCUUUAUUUGACGCGGGUCGAUGAAGUAAAAGUCGUAACA